CCCUGUUACUCAGCUGCUUCAGUUUUCAAAUCAAAGAAGCCACCGCCACUGUCAUAAUCCUUAUUCUUCCCCUACUGCUAAACCAUUCAUAUUGUCGAACCCCUCGAAAGCUUGCAUCGUAGUGGUUCUUCUCCUCCACGUCUGGUUAUGCGGUGAGCCCGUGUCCUAGAGCCCAUUUUCUCUCUGUCCGAAGCCCGGUAGUUCCUCUCUCAUCCUCAAUCCAGUCAUCCCGCUGCGGUUAGGAAAGAUGCUCAGGAUAGGUCGUUUCACGAAAAAAAGCCCGUUUAGACACAGUAUGUCAGUUGCCUCAAGUAGGACUUGAUACGGCUUCAACUUUCCAUCAAGCGGACUGCCCAAUUCCGUUGCCCAGUGGCAGUGGUGCCCCCGCAUCCUCGUCUUUACGCCCCUUUCGUCUGCCCUGUAGUGAACCACUGCCUGCUCCACAGGCUUACACGAAUGAUGUUCAAAACUCGGAGCCGAACGUCGAAGACUUAGACCCAGAGGCAGAUGAGGUAAAUUCUUUUAAGCAACAUGUUGAUAACCUGUUUGCUGCAUCGAAUGCUCAGAAGCCCAAGGGAUGCAAGACCGGAUGUUAAAACAAUUGGAUAACUAUGAUUUACAAAACCCGAUGGAACAAUCAAACAGGUCAAAAUGAGUGUGAAGAAAGCUAUGAAGCCACCUAACGGAAGAAAGAUCAGGUUUAACAGUGUAUUGCAACCAGUUGGGGAUGAAGCAGGUAUACUGAGUGGCGUUACGGGACUGCUAGGAUCUGACUACACCAAAUUCCUAAUCUGCGAGAAGGACUGGAGAAAGGUUCGCACCAAGGACAAGGUUUAUAAUGAAUGGUAAAGGAAAUGUUCCAUUUUGAUGAAGAUAGGAGAGGGAUUAUCAAGCAUAUAAUAUUCAAAUGCUAGGAAGGGCUUGGAAGAAAAUGAGGAACAGAUUAUACCAUCACUAUUAUGACUCAGAACUUUCACUUGAAAAAAAUAUUGAAAACCGCCCACUAGGAGUUACUACGGACCAUUGGAGAUGGUUUCUCGGUUAUCGCAAUAGUGAAGAGACACAUGUAAUAUAUUUUUAUUUCAUAACAAAAAAAUUCUAUUUAUGUUACAUUGAGUUAGGCAGAACUAGUGUCUAGUAACUCUUAAUUUGAUGGGAUGACUAGAGAAGUGUAAAAAAAAUGUUGAGAAUUGAUCAAAGCAGCUUUACACCCACACUGGCAGAUCGAAAAGCUUGGCAAGGCUCAGAGAAGAAGAGUCGGAACAUAUCUCUUAACGCACAAAAGAGCUAAUGGCUCCUAUGUCCAUGAUGCAGCUUAAGCAUUGGAGUAAGAAAUGUGUUGAGAAUCGGGAAGUAGUUUCUCCUAUGUUUUAGUUUUUAAAAUUUUAUUGGAAUUCUGUGCGGUUAGUGACUAGCUAAUAAAUUCUUAUAAUUGUUUAUCUAAGUGUGUAGGAAAGAAUUGAGGCUAUUGAGCAACGUGAUGAAUCCUCUAGACUGUUGUCUCAGAAUGAUUCGCUUGCUCAAGCUCUCAGAAAGGAACACUCGGGUAGGGUACGUGGCAUGGGUUUGGGGCCGACUUCUAGUCAAGUCUUUGGUAUGAAUUCCCAUCAGCCGAGCAAUGGUUUUGAAAGGGAAAAGACCCAAAGUGCACUGCUUGAACUACAAGCAGAGUUGGCAGCCGAGAAAUUAAAAAGGAAGGUAAUAGAGGAUGAAGUAGCAGCCGAGAAGACAAAAAGACAGGCAGUGGAGGAUGAAGUAGCAGCUGGGAAGGUAAGGAUGCAGGCAAUGGAGAGUGCCUUGAUAUGUCUACUUCAAGGGUAAGGUGGGAAGCUGCCAUCAGACGUUGCCGCAUGGAUGAGUGCGUUGGAGGGACAUAUUAGAAAGUAGAUCUUAGGAUUGUGGAACCUUUUUUUCUUUCAAAUAUACACUUUUUUGGUGUUGAUUAUGCAACUUUUAGU